rfam:Gossypium raimondii Chr01_contig_1109, whole genome shotgun sequence.
ACGACCUUAUGUAAACAAAAUCUGUUCUAUAGGCUCGUACCUCUGUAGCCUUUAGUUUAAAAGAGACAGAAUUUCAAGUCUGGUUGAUGAACUGAGAGUAUGUGAUUAGAGCGUGAUUAUUGGUUCUGUGAUGCCUUGUUGCCUCACCUUCACCAUAGAGGACCGUUCUCAGCUUGCCUUGUCUUGUUGGGAUGGUGAAAUAGUUGUUCAAUAGACU